UUCACAGAGAACUGGGAGCAGUCAUGUGUGGCCACAGCACGGGGUGCAAGGAGGGAGUGGUGGGAGAUGGGACGGAAAGGUAUCGUGAGGUCAGAGCCGGAAGGGCCUGCAGAGGCCCAGUGAGGAGCCUGUGCUGGAUUCGGUUCCACGGGAAGGUGACCUCACUGGGGAGGCCGGAGCCGACCCUGCCCCUUCUCAGCCCCCUCUGAGUGCAGGCCCGGGAGAAGGGCAUGGGGCAGAAACUGGCAGAGGAGUCAUCGCCCGGCUUGUUUCUUCACCAGGAAACAAGGUUUCCUGUAACUCAGACCGUGAAUCAGCAUUUCCUCUGUCAAUAAUACACAGAGAGAAAUGCAACAGCACAGGGCUUGGGGGGGGAAUGGAAGACAGGAAGGAAUAUUCCAUGACACGCUGGGCUCUGUUCUCCUUUCCCCCUCCCCGCGAAACACUCCUGAUAAGUUCCCAAACGACACUCGGGCUUCCUACGAGACGUCUCGAAGACAGCUUCACGGUAUCACGAGACGUGUAAAAUUGGUGUUAACUCUGUUGAAGAAUUCGUCAGUGAAACCAUCUGAGACUGGGGAUUUCCUUUUUGAGAGCUUUUAAAAUUGAGAAACUUGGACAUGGAGGGAGACACACACACAGACAGAAUGCCAUGUCAAGAUGAGAGCAGAGAUCAGGAAGAUACUUUUUCAAGCCAAGGAAUGCCAAGACUGCCAGCAAGUAGCCAGAGGCUAGGAGAGAGGCACGGAACAAAUUCUCCCUCACAGCCUCACAAGGAACACUCUGAUCUCAGACUUGCACCCUUCGGAGCCGUGAGGAAAUAAGCUUUUGUCGUGUGAGCCUCCCAGUUUAUGAUACCUUGUUACAACAACCCGAGCAAACGAAGACACUCCUCUUCCCCAACAGCCAGUAUGCAGGAGACCCAGCACCAGAAGGAUCCGGAGCGAAAAGUCAGGAAAAUGUUAGAACUACCUGAGAGGCUCAGACACCAUCUUUGUCAUUUUAUUCCAAAUAAACACAGCACCAGCAGAGAGGGUCUGCAUGUCCAACUUCUCAGGGACAAACUUUUUGCCACUGUAGAGAAAGUUAACUGCUAAAACUACAUAAAAUCGAUUGUCCAUGUGGUCAUGCAUAGGUCAUGCUCCAGUUUGUUCUAUGAUGGAGUAAAGAAAAUAUGUGUCCUUCCAGGCAAAAUAUAAAAGUAAAGACAAUCUAUGGCAAAAAAAAUAAGGCUAUAGAUUCACAAGGGUACCUUCGCUGAUGUCUUCCUAGGGACAAAGGCAGACACUCCGUUUUGCAGCCAAAAUGGGCCGGGUGAGUAUGUACCUCUGACCUAUGAACAGCAAAUGAAAGUGGCAAAAGCAGAAGCAUAGAGGAGUUUAUGCAAGUCUCCCAUGCCUUCCUCCUCCACUGCCACAGAGGCCCCGGACGUCACUUACAGAAGGAAGGGAGGCACAAAAUUAAAGUAGACCGGAUCCUUAAGCCUCUGAUUGGAAGGGAGCCGCCUCGGAAAACCAUCCGACCCUCAGUGAAGCUUCUGCAAGAAAUAAAUAGUUGCCUAUGAGAUUUGGGGGGGGGGGGGGGAUAAUCGAACCUGGCACUAUGGCCUGACUCAGACGAUGAUGAUGGCCUUCACCUUGGCAACCUGUAUUGGACCUGUGUACUAUUCAAAAACAAAAUAAAUAAUAAGCGAGUGGAGAAAUAUUCACUUGGAAUUUCUCGUGUGUCUUGUUACACACGAGAAGAGCCCAUUGGUAGAAGAGCCCACCCCAACUAUGUUCAUGUGACUUCCUCUGAAAACACAGACCCUGGACCCCACAGUAAAGGAAAGGCCUCCUUGGCAUUCCUGAUGACUUCUCCAGUGGGAGCUUGGACCCUUACAGAUGGAAUGGCGUUUCCCGUUCUGGGCACAACUCUGAUUGUUAGAAAUUUAUUCCUUAGGAUUAUCGAUAAUCAGACUCUCUGUUACCCCCAGCCGCUGGCCUCAGAUCUACUCUUCAGAGCUCUGCAAUAACUAAGAAAAAGUCCAUCCUUCUCCAAAGCUGCUCUCCCCCAGGCUGCUGUUGUAAUCAAAGGAGAUUUCUUUCCAGAAGCCAUGUUAAUCAAACUAUCACUAAUAAGUCAAAUCCCAAUAGAAUGUGGGCCGCAGCAUUGUCCCAAUUAUUUUGUUGUGUUAGGAUUUUAUGCCAUCAAAAAAAUACUUGAAAUAAAUGGGAUUCCACCUGGGGCCUAACAUUCUUUCAGUUAUGGAAAGAUUUGCAUCAUAGCAAUAUUUGUUUUAUUGGGAUUUAACCUGCCCAUCGUUCUGCUGAGUGCCUGAGUAUGAAUGUGGGAAAUAGCUUUCUACCACCAUAAGCUCAGAAAAAAUGUCAGUGAAAUGCUGGCAAAUAGAUUAUGAUUGCAUCGACAGCUCUUUUCAUAAGCUAAUGGGCUGUCUAACCUACUCAUGCCUGCUGUCCCCCAUAGGGUCUUGUGAGCACACUGCCAAGGAGCUCGUUGGAUUUGGCAAAUUGAUACACUGGGCUUGUUUGACUUCCCAUUUCUAUGAAUGAUCGUUAGAUAUUUUAACAAUAUGUUAAUGUGCUUAGAACGCCUAAUGGGGCAUUAGUUAGGCAAAUACACAACUCAGUUGAGAGCUCUCCUGUUAACACAGGCAAAAAUCUAUUCUUUUUCUUAAUAAUGGAUUCCCUUCCUGGUUCAAGUGGAAAAUUUUAAAUGUGUACAUACGCAUGAAGUUUCUUAGUCCUAUAAUUUAUGUUUGAUCGUCAGGACUUGUGUAGAAGAGAUAACACGCCAUUUUACUUGAAGGACUCAAGGAAUCCAACGUGAGGGCUAAAAAACACAUGAAAAACUGGAACCUUGCUAGUAAACAAAAUCUUUUUUUAAUACAUUUUAAGUUCGAAUAUCUAGCAUUGGCAUGGCUGGGGAAAACACUUUUAUACACUCCUUGUGGGAGCAUAAAUUGAGACAAUCUUUCUGAAAUGCAAUUUGGCAAACAUAACAAAAGCCUUUAAAGUGUGCAUACCCUUUGACCCAGACCCAAUGAUUUCACUUCUAGGAAUUUAUUCUAAGGAAGUAACACUGGGUGUGUGCAAAGAUUUAUUUACCAUGCUUAUUUAGAUGCCUAUUGCAACAUUAUUUACAAUAGCAGUAAUUGAAAAAAAACCAAAUAGCUAACAAAAGGAAAUUGGCUUUUUAAGAAACAUGAUACACUUGCUUACCCAACGUGUUAUUACACUGGCCUUAAAAUACGUGUUAUAGAAGAACUAUUAAUAUGAAAACAAAAUCACAAUAUACUGUUAAGAUUUUUUUAAAUACAAGUUUCAAAACCAUAUUUUUAGGAUAUCAGUUUUGCAAACAAGUUUUAAACAAACAUAGAAGAAAACGUACCAAAAUUUAAUAAGGCUUGUGUCUGCAAGUUGGGUUUACGGGCGGUUAUUAGUUCCUUUUUCUCUCUCCUGAAUAUUUCUAAAUAUUUUACAAUGAACACAGUACGCUUGGUAUACAAAAAUAUUAUGAGAUAGAAUCUUACCUGUAAAAGGGAGUCUAAUUUUUCAAGACGCUGCUGUUACUAGGAAAUCAGACACAUUUUUCCUACUGCCUUAACUCACAAUGCCAAGUGAACAUUUCUUUGGCAUUUCUAACUUGUACAGAGCCAAACAGUCUCCAUCUUUAAAGCAAGUCUGAACACCAAUGGACAAUUCCACAAUUAACCAAGAUACCCAACUCAGUUCCAUUUGAAAUGAACAGAGGUGGGGAAUUUUUUUUAAGUUUGUUUGUUUGUUUGUUUGUUUGUUUGUUUUGAGAGAGAGAGAGAGAGAGGGAGGGAGGGAGAGAGAGAGAAAGAGAGAGAGAGAGAAUGAGUCCAUACAUAUUGACAGUAUGGAGCCCAACUUGGGGCUCAAACUCACAAACCAUGAGAUCAUGACCUGAGCCAAAAUCAAGAGUCAGAUGCUUAACCUACUGAGCCACCCGGGUGACCCUGAUGUGGGGAAUUUUUUUAAGCUAGAAAUGGAAUACUAUCAUUACCCAAGAGCAUUAGAUGUGGAGUAUCAGAUGUAGAACUCCUGGGAAAAAGUUCUAGCUCUGACAUUAGCUGGUGACCUCGAGCAAACCUCUUAGUCCUUCCAUGGGACUCUCAGACUGGACCUACACACACACACACACACACACACACACAGAUUUUCUUAAAUAAGGGAUAAGGUCAAUCUAUCCACAGUACUCCCAAGGCAGUCCCACCUUAUAUACUACAUUGCUUUAGCCAUAUCUAGUCUAGAAUCUCCAUAACUAACAACUAGUCAAGACUGAAAUGACACAAAGGAAGGAACUGACUUCUUUUCUUUCUUGACUUUUUGUUUGUUUGAUGUGUGUAAACUAAAGCACAUUUGUGCACAAAGUGCAUAGGUCAUAAGUGUACAGCUUAACAAAAUUGUAAAGUGAAUCCCUGGCAAGCGCUACCCCUGGGAAGAAAUGACCACCACCCAGAAGGACUGCAUGUGCCCCUUUCUUGUAACUCUUGCUUUCUCUCUCUAGAGUCACUGCUCCCCUGACUUUAUUGUGAUCAUUUCCUUGAUUUGCUGUAUGGUUUUAUCACCUAAGUAUGCAUUUCUAGAUAAUACAGUUUACUUGUGUUUAUUUUUGAACUUUAUAUAAAUGGAAUCAUACAAAAAAUAUUGCCAUGAUAAUGAAUAUAAAAGAAUUUUGUAAAGUGUAACGUAUACAUGAGUGAAUGGAAUUAUUAGUAGUAAUACUAUCAUGUGGGUCAUAGGCAUUGAAUUUUCACCCUCCACAGCAGGUGCUGCUUUCAUGAUUUUUACAUCGAAUCAUUUCCUGUCAGGUCUAGACCUCCUCAUCCUUCCAGAUGGUCAGCACAAGCUCCGUUCAGGGACCCAUCAGAGCUCCGUGUUUGUGACUUCUCUGUGCUUGUGACUUCCACCUAGAUGGAAAAAUACCCACCUGAGACUGAGAGGGGUCUGUAAAUACCUGCUUUGUUCAUAAAUUAGCAGGCUUCCCUCUGUUGAGUGAGUUCCCCAGCUAUUAUCAAGGCUCUAAGGUCACAUCUGGUUAAUCGUUGGCUAGAAAUCAAUACACAGAGAGUGAUGGUUUAUGAUAAGGGCUUAUAAUAAGCAAGUUCAAGUUCAAGAGACUGGCUGUCUUUUUGUUCUUAGAUGCUAAAAAGAAGCUGCUAAUCCCCUUUCCUGUUGGGAAAAAACAUAACUCCAUUCACGCUGCUACCUAAAUCAAGAAAUAUUUGAUACAUUCUUUUCAUAGGUACCCUUUCUCUCUUUGGUCAAUGCAUUGUAUCCUUAGGCUCAGCUGCUCAAAUACCAUCUAGAAUAUUUUUCAAUCCCAAGGAAACGCAUCAACUAAUUCUCUAGUGUCACAAGACCUCAGGGAUACAGCUACCCUUUGUCCCAGUUCUGGAACAAUACCGACACUCUUUGAUGUUAGUGGCUACCUUGUGAACUGAUCCAUGGGGCUCCCAGUGCCCGAGGCUCAGUACUGUGGGUUUCCCAACUGGCACUUGGCCAAAGCUUGCCAUUUCUCCUGUGCAACCACCCAUGCAUGUGUACAUGAGCACAUGCGUAUGUGAAUGAGUGGGUGUGUUCAAGCGUGUGUAGGCAUACUAUCUACUCAUUCCACAAGUAGACAGCAUUACCAUGGAUUGUAGCAAUAACAUAAGAAUGCCUUUCAUGUAGUAAAUGUUGAGUGAAUAAGUGAACAAAUGAGCAAUGCUCCCCACCUGGCUUCCUACCCCAACAUUCCUCCUCUUUUCACAACUGAGGCCACUCAAAUUCCACCUUCAGGAUCAACACUGUACCAUUCCCAGGACUAAUUUAGGACUUAAUCAAGCAGAAACUUAGGGAAUUGGUCCAGAUUCUCAAAAGACUCAGAGUUUAGUGUACCUGGCAAAUCCUCCCACAGUGAUAUUGAAUUCAUAUUUGGAUCACCACCUUCUUCCUCUCUCAUAGUACCUUAUGUCACUCAUUUCAAAACACACACACACACACACACACACACACACUACCUUUGUGCUAUUCUGUAGGGUUAUACCCAAGUCUCUGGCAACCACUAAUGUGUUUCCUGUUGCAUCAUUUUGGCCUAUUCCAGAAUAUUACAUAAAUGGGAUCUAGUUAAAACUCACUAACCCUAAAGAGCAAUACAAGGGUGUUUGUUUGUUUGUUUGUUUGUUUUGAAGCUGUCUGUCCUGUUGUUGUAGUGGUUACACAAAUUUAUCCAUAGUUAAAACUCACAGAACUGUACUUUUCAACAUGUCAAUUUAAAAACUAAUACUGAAAAAAAGUCUGAACACACUUAGCAUGUAUUUUCCUAUAUGCAUGCAUAUUAAUAGAAUAAAUCUGUAUUAGCAGUGUAUAACUCAUUUUAAUUUUAAAACAUUGUAAAUAAAAGUUUCAAUGUAAUUAACUGUAUCUGCAUAUCAAGUUUUAAUGGUUGGGUCGUACUACAUUGAAUGGAGAUAACACAUAUUACGUAAGCAAUCCCAUAUUGAAUAUUUGGGCUGUUACAGAUUUCUUCUUUUUUUUAAGUUUAUGUAUUCAUUUUGAGAGACAGAGAGCUCAUGCAUGUGCACAAAUUGGGGGAGGGGCAGAGAGAAAAGGAAGGAGAGAAUCCCAGGCAGGCUCUGUGCUAUCAGCAUGAAGCCCCUUGAGGGGGCUCGAUCUUACAAACCGUGAGAUCAUGACCUGAACCAAAACCAGUAGUCAAACACUUAACUGACUGAGCCACCCGGGGACAACACUGAGUUUUCAAUAUCAUAAAUCCUGCUGUGAUAAUCAUGCUUGCAGUUAAAUAUUUGCACAAAUCCUUCAUUAUACUCUGUAUACAUUUUUAGAAGUAAACUUGUUGGGUCAAGGUAUGAAUUUUUUUUUAAGUUUAUUUCCUUAUUUUAAGACAGAGACAGCACGAGUCGGGGAGGGGCAGAGAGAGAGGGCGAGAGAGAGAGAAACCCAGGCGGGCUCCCUGCUGCCAACUCAGAGCCCAACACAGGGCACGAACUCAAGAAACCCCAAGAUUAUGACACGAGCCGAAACCAAGAGCCGGUCGCUUAACCGACUGAGUCACCCAGAUGCCCCUCAAGAUACGAACUUUUUAAAGGUCUUUAACAUGUUUGUCAAAAUGUCCUUCAGAAAGUGGUACCCAAAUGCUCCACCCCCCCAAGGGGCAAUGAGGAUUUUCUCCUAUGUUCCCCUAUAACCUUGCUCACAUGCUGCUAUUAUAUUAUGUGGAGUUAAAACUUCAAAGUCCCUCCACAUGCAUUGUAGUCAUCUUUGAACAAAACAACUCACAGAGCCUACCACAUUGCCUGACAUAUACAAGGCACCAUUUAAUAUUUGUAUUUGUUUGUUGGCCUGAAUAAAUGGAUAAAUUAAAGAGCUAGUUUUUUCUUUGGUAAUGAAUUUUCCUAUUUGCCACCAAAUACUUUAGAGUUACUUCAUGCACAGUCAUUAAUUCAGCACCUAGAGCAUGAUCUGCGAUAUUUUUUAAUCAAACCUCACGAACCAAAACAUUUGAAGCAUUCAUUCCGAUACAUUUGUUUAUACUUUAUACACACAUACUCACGUCAAUCUGUGCAUUCAAGAAUAAUAAAGCUUAACUCCUUACGUUGAGUUAAAAAUAAGCGUAAAUGAAGUUCUAAUAUUUUCUUCUCACUCUCCAAAAUAUUGUUCUUUACAUACCCCCAAGCUACUCAAAUUUUGUAGGUCAUUGCCCUAAGGAGCCUAGAUGCCCAGGGUUCUGCACUGGGCAGCAACAAGAGUACAGCAAUGGAUGACACAGUCUUACCCUUGGAUUUCACAGGCAGUCUAGGAGCAAACGCCAUGGGAACUUUACCGAUAACCAGAGUGCCUUAUUGUUUUUAAUGUUUAUUUGUUUUUGAGAGAGAAAGAGAGAGAGAGAGUGUGUGAGUGGGGUAGGGGCAGAGAGAGAGAGACAUACAGAAUCCGAAGCAGGAUCCAGGCUCUGAGCUGUCAGCACAGAUCCCGAUGCAGGGCUCGAACCCAUGAACUGCAAGAUCGUGACCUGAGCUUAAGUCGGAAGCUCAACUGACUUGAGCCCCCCAGACACCCCCAGAGUGCCUUAUGAAAGCAGAGGAGGGACAGAUUUCUCCUUGUUCAGGAGGGGAAGAGGAAGUCCUGGGGCAGGUCACAAAGUUUAAGUUCUAAAUGCUGAGGAAGCCCCAUUUGGCCUAUGUUUUACUCUGACAGCCGCAUUGCAGGACGGCUGGGUGGGGGAGGGCUGUUAAGUAGGGAAGAGUCUGUACACCUGCCACGUAUGGCUGUUGGUGGGUUUUUCUUUGUGCUUCUUUUUUUCCUGUUUGCUUAAUGCAUUUUU